rnacentral:rRNA from 1 species
UUUCCGUUGCUCCCUACCGAUUGAGUGGUCCGAUGAACACUUUGGAUUUUAGUAAUGUCAGUCUUAACGGAUUGAUGAUUAUUGAGAGAAGUUGUGUAAAUCUUACCAUUUAGAGGAAGGUGAAGUCGUAACAAGGUUUCCGUAGGUGAACCUGCGGAAGGAUCAUUAUAGAAUGCCGUAAGGCUUAGUAGCCUGUUGGUAUAUCCAAUGGGUAUUUGUUGUAAUUAUGUUGUAAAACAUAGUUAUAAUGAAUUAGGUGAUGGUAGUGAAAACAACUAUAUGCGAUGG